AUGGAAAGUAAUUCAAGGCUUGAAAAGGAACAAUAGCUUAUUAUAAUGAGGCAUAUAAUAUGAAAAAUUUUACUGAAUUAGAAAGUAAUUUUACCUCAAAAUCGAAAGAUAUUCAACUAAACAAAGUAAAUUUUAAUUUACGAUUAGUUAAACUCUUUGAACUGAAACAUCUAAGUAAAAGAAGAUAAGAAAACUCAAAAGAGACAUUGUUAGUAUUGGUGAGAGAAAGCAAUCUAACCAUAAAAUUAAUGAUAAUAAACAUUAACAUAGAGUCUUAGUACACAGUAAUGGAAAUUAUCUUUAAAUAUAAUGUAAAACUAUACCAGAAUAUUUAGUUUGACAAAAAAAGAUUGUAUCUUCAAUCAUGGUUAAGAAAUUAUAAUAAAGCGAUAGUGAAAAGUACUGUGAAGGAAAUAAAUACAUAAAUAAUAAUUGAUAUUUUAUUAUUAGUAAUAUAAUACUAAGAUCAAUUAUUAAUUAAUUAUGUAGAGCUUAAUGCUCAAAAAAGUGAAAUUUCAAGUUGACAAGCAGAUAAAUCUUAAUAAGAGAUAUCGUACCUUUUGCAUGAUGGACUUGCAAUUUAAUAUUAAUAGUGAGAUUAAGGUUAAAAACCGUAGUCGUAGAGAAAUCGAGUUUUAAUACUCAUAGUGUAUCGAAUUUAAUUUAACGCAUAGAUGCUACUAUCCUUGCAAACUGAAAGCGACCUUACCCUUUUAGGGUAACUUACUUUACCUUUUCGGGUAAAGUGUAGCCAGGUAGCAAGGUCACAAGGCUGACAGGGGGUCGCACCACCCCUCCACCAUAUCACCAUUGGUGAUAUCGGAAAAACCACCACUCACCUUUCCUUAAGGAAAGGUCAGCAUAGCCAAAAGGGAGUUAAUCCCUUGUGGUGGUAUAUAAAAGGGGUAUUGUACCUGAUAUAAUGUGUGAGUGGCACGCCGUAUUUUUAUGAAAAUACUAGUAUUGAAAGAACAUAAAUUAUUAAUAUUAGACCCGAAACGACAUGAUCUAUUUAUGAGCAGAAUGAUCUCAGGUAAAACUGAGGGAGGUUCGAACCUGUGAAUGUUGCAUUAUUCUAGGAUGACUUAUGAAUAGGGGUGAAAGGCUAAUCGAAUGUCGUGAUAGCUGGUUCUCAAUGAAAUGCGUCAACGCGCAGUAAUAAAUCAAUAGCAUAGUUGGUAAAGCACAAGUAAUAAAAUGGCGACCUAAUCAGUUGUACUUUUUAUUACUUACCUCAGAAUGACUAUUCAAAAUGAUUUAUUAAUUGGACUAUAGGCGAUAAGGUCUAAGGUCAAGAGACAAACAGGUCAGAAUAUAAGUUAAGGUAGGCAAUUAUUAUAAAAUUAAUUUUUUAUCUAAAUUUUUUCACAUAAAAAAAUUUUUAUGGAUAUGAAAAAGUUUAGUAUGUAUGUGUAUAAGACAGUCAAUUUGCUACGACAUUCAUGAGGUAUGCUUGGAAACAGCAAUCCUAUACUGAGUCCGUAACAGGUCAAUGAACUUAAAUAUGACAUUAGUUGUAUUUGCAAAUUCGGCAUCAAAAAUUUACCCUGCAAACAUAAUAACCAAAACUAUAUUUUACUAAAAAACAUGGUAUUAUUUGAGUCAUUUCCAUUAGGAAUCAUGACUCAUUAUAUGAGUCAAUUCCAAUAGGAAUCAUGACUCAUAAUAUAUAACAUGUACUAAGAGAAAGGUAAUUGAGCACUCUGUAAAAAAAAUAUUUAUUAUGAAAGUAAUAAAUUAUGAAACAGAAGAGACAAUGCAAGUAUGAGUAGCGUAAAGUAUUAAAUUUUAAUACCUCCGAAAAACCAAGGUCAUUUCUCAGUUAUGAAAUGGCAACUGAGAGUAAAUCAGUCUCUAAUAUGAUAGUGAAAACUGUAGUAGAUGAGUGAUAAUAAGUAGACGGUUUCAGAAUUUUAUUAUACUUUAAUAGGAAUAUUAAAUAAUGAGACCCAGGAAAUAAUAUUAUCAAUAAAACUGUACUGGAAACUGACACUAGUGGUUAGGUAGAGUAUACCAAGGAGAAUGAAAUAAUAAUCAUUAAGGAACUCGGCAAAAUGUAUCUGUAUGUCUUCUAGAAAGAUAUUCAUAUAAAAAAAUAAUUAUUAAUUUGAUUUUAUAUUCAUUUUAUAAAAUUGAAUCUUAAAUAAAUUUUAUAUGAACAUAGAUAAUCGUAUUGUCCAACUGUUUACCAAAAACAUAACAAGCUGCCAAUUAGAAAUAAUAAGUAUAGCUUGUGACAUCUGCUAACUAUGAAGAGUUAAUAAAUAAGAGAUUAUAAAAAUGAAAUUAGCAUUAUUAAUUAAAACUUAAUAAUGUUAUUUCCAUUUUCACUAAUUAAAUUAUUUAUAUCCUCUUUGUGAAGAGCUGUGAUAACCAUAAUCAUAAUAAUGUAGCAAAAUCAAUAGUCAAUUAAUUGUUGACGGGUAUGAGUGAUGAAAUGAGAUAAUAACUGUCUUAAUGAUUAAUUUAGUGAAGUUGAAUUUGUUGUGCAGAUGCAAUAUAGAACAAAAUUAGACGAGAAGACUCUAUACAUCUUAACUGUGAAUAUAAUAAGAAAAUGUAAUAUCUAAUUUUAUUAAAUCUAAGAAAUUAGAUUAAAGUUUUCAAAAUUUUUGAAAAUUUUAAAGUAAAAAACAUAAUGACCAAUUUUAUUACUUUUUCUAAUAAUCUACCUCAAAGGAGGGUAUUAGAGACCAUUAUAUGAGACAGUUUUAUUUGGAGGAUAUCCUUUAAAAGAGCAACAAAGGAAUACAAAAGGCCAACUCAAUUUAAUCAGAACUUAAAUGUAGAGUGUAAUAGCAAAAGUUGGCUUAACUGAAAGACAGAUCGGUCAAUCAGAAAUGUACAAAUAAUUAGAUUAUCCCUGUAUGUUGGUUAUAGUGAUCCAAUUUUACCUUAAGAAAGUGGAAAUUGCUUAUUAAAUAAAAGAUACGUUAGAGAUAACAGGCUUAUAUCUAUAGAGAGUUCAUAUCAACAUAGAUGUUUGGCACCUCGAUGUUGACUUGCCUUAUCCCACUGGUGCACAAGCUAGUAAAGGUGUGACUGUUCGUCAUUUAAAAAGGCACAUGAGUUGAGUUAACUACGUCGUGAGACAGUAGGGAUUCUAUCUUUUUUGUUAAAAAGAUAAGUAUAUGGUCAAGAUCAUUGUACGAAAGGAUCAGGUCUUGUACAUCAAUAGUCUAUCAAUUGUUAUAUUAAAUAUUUGAAAAAAUUUUUGAAAUUUGAUCAUUUAAUUACAAAAUUUGUAUUAUUUUAUAAUCCUAUAUCUAAUAAAUAUAGACACAAUAUUUAAUUUUAAGCAUCGUUGAUUAGCCACAUGUAAAUGGAGUAUUACUGAAAGCAUAUUAAGUAAGAAAC
rnacentral:rRNA from 1 species